UGUUCGCCAUAUCCAUUCAUUGCGAGAAAAUCACUAGUCCGGCCACAGAUAAUGGCAGAGGAUCAGACAAGGAGGGUCCGGUGAGCAUGGGCAAGAUCACAGGACCAAGCCGGGCUGACGGAUGCCCGACAGAGGGCACGACUGCUCACCAAUGUUGCAGGAGGACCAGGAAGAGGGAGUGUCACCGCACUCGGGCUGGAAGUCACUGGGACACCGAAGAGAGGGGACCCAUGCCCUGAGAGCUGGAGGCCACCUCUGAACAAGAGACAGGGUCAGAACUGACUCAAGACAAGGCUCCAGGAGUGACGGAUGUCCCCACGCUUGGCAAUGGUGUGUGAAAACACCGUAACUCCAAACUGGAGAUAUCAAAGAGCAAAGCAGCCACGAAGAUCGGCUUGAUUCCAUAUUUCAACAACUUGCCCUCUUCUGUUUAUUUCACAA